AGUGAACGCUGGCGGUAGGCCUAACACAUGCAAGUCGAACGGCAGCACAGUAAGAGCUUGCUCUUACGGGUGGCGAGUGGCGGACGGGUGAGGAAUACAUCGGAAUCUACUUUUUCGUGGGGGAUAACGUAGGGAAACUUACGCUAAUACCGCAUACGACCUACGGGUGAAAGCAGGGGAUCUUCGGACCUUGCGCGAUUGAAUGAGCCGAUGUCGGAUUAGCUAGUUGGCGGGGUAAAGGCGCACCAAGGCGACGAUCCGUAGCUGGUCUGAGAGGAUGAUCCGCCACACUGGAACUGAGACACGGUCCAGACUCCUACGGGAGGCAGCAGUGGGGAAUAUUGGGCGAUGGGCGCAAGCCUGAUCCAGCCAUACCGCGUGGGUGAAGAAGGCCUUCGGGUUGUAAAACCCUUUUGUUGGGAAAGAAAAGCAGCAGGUUAAUACCCCGCUGUUCUGACGGUACCCAAAGAAUAAGCACCGGCUAACUUCGUG
rnacentral:rRNA from 1 species